AGCGAACGUUAGCGGCGGGCCUAACACAUGCAAGUCGAGCGAGAAAGUGGCUUCGGCCAUCAGUAAAGCGGCGGACGGGUGAGUAACACGUAGGUAAUCUUCCCUUGAGCGGGGGACAACGUUUCGAAAGGAACGCUAAUACCGCAUACGUUUCCAGGGACUCUGGUCUUUGGAAGGAAAGCUAGGUCGCAAGAUCCGGCACUCGAGGAGGAGCCUGCGUCGCAUCAGCUAGNGGUGGGUAACGGCCUACCAAGGCGAAGACGCGUAGCUGGUCUGAGAGGAUGAUCAGCCACACUGGGACUGAGACACGGCCCAGACUCCUACGGGAGGCAGCAGUGGGGAAUAUUGGACAAUGGGCGCAAGCCUGAUCCAGCCACGCCGCGUGAGUGAUGAAGGCC
rnacentral:rRNA from 1 species